GCAAAUCCCGCCGCCGUCCACCCCGCGCAAAUCCCGCCGCCGGCGCGCUCCACGCAGAACCCCUCCGCCGGCGCGCUCCACCCAGAACCCCGCCGCCGGAUCCACCCCAAGGCCCGCCGCCGUCUCCACCCCGUGCUUCGCCGCUGUUCCCCCACCUCAUCGACGUCCGUGCCGCCCUCCUCCGCGCUUCGUUGCCGACCUCAGCGCUCUCGCCGACGAACGCGCCGCCCUCCUCGGCGCUCCCUCGCCGACCUCGACGCCCUCGCCAACCUCGACGCUCUCGCCGACCGACCCCGAAGAUAUGGAGUUAGGGUAGGAGACCCAGAUCCCGACGUUGUCCCGGAGCCCCAGCUGUGCCUACGACUGUUGUUCGACUACUUUCUCUACAGCCGAGGGUGAUUGAACAAUGAGCAAGCAAUCAUCCUUCAGCUUGCUUAAGAAGUUGCGCCAAGAGAAGCCCGGAACAACUCGAAGUGGAAGAGCACAUAUUCCUACUCGACGCUUUGGUGAUAGUGACGAUGAAGGGAGGGAGGAUGGUCUACCGCCUAGAGGACGAGGCCGGAGGACCACGAGUGAGGAGGUUUCGCUUUCCCAGCGACGAGGAGGGGGCUUACCCCCUAGAGGACGAGGCCGGGGCCAAGAGCGUACACUAGGGCAGCGGACUCCGACACCCUCCCUUAGUGAUGUACCCUCCGCUACUGGCACCGAGACUUCCGAGGGGGAGGAGGGAGCGAGAGGAGCCUCCCCAGAGGAUGAGGAGAUA